rnacentral:lncRNA from 11 species
CUGGAGUCUUGCUGAAAGGGAGGGGAAUUCAGCUGUGUCUCCUGGCAAAGGGCCAGAGAAGGGCUGUGUGCAAGUCUUCUGCUCCUUCAGAGGGAGGCAGGCUCUGCAGGGUGGGCAGGGGAGUAUCCAAUGAAGGAGAAGCUGAAGCUCAGUAGUAGGCACUUGAAAUGCAGAGUCAUGACUCGUGGGGAGUAGUUAUGCAAACAUACCAGCAGAGAGAGAACCUCUUUUCCUGGUUGGAAAGGAAGUGGAUUUGGCAAAUUGGAAGUCUUGACUUAAUUCAGUGUCCUGGCAAAGUGCAACAAGGUGCAUGGAUAACCGGAUGGUUCAUUGUAUGAGCAAGGCUGCAGCUGCACUGUUGAAGUAAUACAGUUUGGCCCCACUUGUAACUGCAUGGCUCAAUGGUAUGGAUUCAUGGGAGUUGCAGUCUUCCUUUAGUACAGCUAAGUUCAUGCACAUGGUCCCUCCUGUGACCACUUCUCCUGAGGGUGUGCAGACUUUUCUGGCCUCCGUGACAGUACCUUCAUCCUGAACCAGCUGAAGAGCCCAGAGGAGUUGUAGCCUCUUCUACUUUCUUCUUUUGAAGCCUACCAUCUUUGAUCUCCUCAUCCAGAGUUUGCCUAUGAAGGAAGGAAGGAGAGAGAGACAGACAGAUCUGGGAAAAACAUUGGAGCAUCGGUUCUUGGGAACAGACUGUCCAUAGGAACACCCAUCGCUCCACGUCACUGAAACAAAAUGACAUGAGUGAAUUUGACAGAUUGCAUCCCAUGUGUUUUGAAGCAUGUCCUCCCAUGUCCAUGUGCAUCAAGAGCUCAGAAGACGAUUUCUUCCCGGUUCCUCUUUCCUCAGUUUAUCUACAUUUCUAAGGCAGAACAAAGCCCCAGGGAGAGUGAAGCCUUUCUUACCAGUGCCAGCGGGCCCCUUGCUUUGUGUCUGCCAUGUUGCCCUGGCUGCCUCUGCUCCUGCAGGCAGGGAAGAAGGAAAGCCGCUCCGCCUGAAUAUCAUCACCAAAACACACUUAGAAGUUGCAGUGGAUUUUCUUUGCACUUAGACUUUGAAACAUACAGUUGGUCCAUUUCCUUCAGAAGACCACUUGUUCAUUCUGUUAGUUCAUUUCCUGGUACUUUUGGCAUGAGGCACGAAUGCAUUUGUGAGCACUCUACUGGGCCUGCUUGAUGUCUUACCACUGGAAAUGGAACAACUCAGCGGGAGUAGAGCAUCAGCUUUAGAGGAUUCUUUCCCUCUACCUCCUGCUGCGAAAGAUGCCCCCAUGCUGUUAAUCUGGUUGACUUUCAGGAAGACAUAAAUUUGUUAAGAUCUGGAGUUUUUCGUGCUCACUGCCUACAUUCCAUAAGGCAUAUUGUGUCUAAUAUGACUGCCUCUUUUAUUUGUUGUUCUGGUGAUGUACUGUUGCUUCCCAUCAGAAUGUCUAGAUAAAUUUAAGGGUAAAUAUGUCAAAUAUUUCACAUGGUGAUAGAAUAAAAUGCACAGCACAUUUCCUUUUAAAUUUUGUUUUAAUUUGGAUGAUAAUACUUUCCUUUGUUUUGAAAAGAGAGGUUCCCUGUUAAUUAAUAGCAUUAAGGUACUUAAAGAUUUUGUCAUUUAGGGAACCAAAAUAGUAAGCCAUAACCUAAUCAAAUAAAACUGAUGAAUAGUUAAAAUUCCUCCACAAUGGAUUUAAUUAAAUAAAUUUCAGCAUAUAUAAUUCAGAGGAAGCAAUUGCUUUAUUAUCCAAAAUGUAUAAAUGUAUACACAAUAAGAAGGCCCCUUCUACACUGCCAUAUAAAAUCCAGAUUAUCUGCUUUGAUCCGUAUUUUCUUCCACAGUGAGGACAUCAGUUUCCAGGUGGAAGGUGGUCCCGGUCAGGGUUGGCUUGAUGCACCUUCCUCUUGGUACAUUGCCCCCUGUUCACCUCCAUUCAUUCCUUUCAAAUUCCACAGCACUGCUGGUCACAGCUGACCUCGUUAGAGUGCUCGAGGGCUAGGGCUUCCAUCAAUAUUCCGUUUUCCGUUCUUGAGUUGGGAGUAUAGUAACUGCUUUGGUACUGUAGAUUCAUAUAAUCCAUUUCAAAUAAAAUAAUCUGGAUUAUCUGUUUUUACAAUCUGGAUUAUAUGGCAGUGUAGAAGGGCCCUAAGAAAUGUUUAACUAUCUAAAGCUGCAUGGCAAUGAGUUGGUCUAGUUUCCCCUCCUGUCCCUUCUAACUCUAUGGCUUAAUGAAUCUAAAAUUCCAUGAAAGUAGUGAUGAUGAACAUCAGUGGACAAAGAGAAGUAAGUGGGCCACAUAUGGCUCUGUAGGCCAUCCACAUCUUCAUUUCAGAAGAUUUUAAAACUAAAAAUGCCUUUCACAGCUGUUAAAAACAUAGAGUAAAACAUUGCCAUGUUUUGUGGACUCUUUUUUAGCUCCCAAAGGAGCCAUGUACAAUGAGGAAAUAAAAUCAGAAAUCAACAUUUAGAUAAAGCUAUCAUUUAAUUUGUCUUUUACUGUCUUUUACCGAAGAGAGGUAAUGACAUGGCAAGAUUUGGUUCAUAUGCCCUAUGGCAUAGGUAGAUAACAUGUAGUCCACAGGCCUUCAGAAAAGUACCCAAAGCUCUAAAAAAUGCAAAGGUUUUCUGCCUCUCAAUGCUCCCCAAACAAAAAUAACCAAAUCAACCAAAAGCAAAACUGAAUGUACUGCAAUAUGACUUAAUAAUUAUAUCAUGCAUGCCGGUGAAGCUGGCUGAUAGAGAACACAUGUAAAAUUGGGCUCUGUCCCCAUUGCUGGAAUAGAGAGAGUUUGUAUGAGCAUUUGCAGUAAAAGAAAAGAAAAAAGAAUAAUGGUUUAUAUGGUUGUUGUUGUUGUUGUUGUUGUUGUUGUUGGAGCGGCUUCAGCUGUCUGAGAUUAUACAAAGAUCACUGCAGCUCUCCCAUCUAUGGCAAUUGCUCAUCUCUGCUUUACAGCAUUCUUGUGAUACCAUAUGACUUCUUCUAACUCAGUGGUUCUCAGCCUUCCUAAUGCCACGGCCCUUUAAUGCAGUUCCUCAUGUUGUGAUGAUCUCCAACCAUAAAAUUAUUUUUGUUGUUUCUUUAUAACUGUAAUUUUGCUACUGUUAUGAAUCGUAAUGUAAAUAUCUGAUAUGCAGGAUAUAUUUUCAUUCACUGGACCAAACUUGGCACA